AUCUGCCAUUCUCAGAGCCACCUCCCCAAGGGACGACAGUGUGCGACGUGAACACGGCUGAUCAGACCCCUUCCUGGGACCGGGAAGUGGAGACCAGGAGAGCUGCUGUGGCGGAGCCUGUGGUGCCGAUCGGAGAAGGGACCCUCCAGACCAUCCGAGCCUCGAUCCAAAGGAGCCUGAAGCUUCAGCCUGGGCCUCCGGAAGUCCUGCCUGCGGCAGCCCCGAGACUCCCGAGAGCACCUUCUGCCCACUGGAGCAGGCCCUGGGAGGGCUGCACCCCACGCUGUGGGGUGGGGGUUGCCAAGACCCUUGUACCUCUGAUGCCCUGACGCCGUGGCUCUGUGGUCACCAUGUGCAGAGAGAACUGCCCACCUGAGCCCGACUUCAAUUCCUGACCCACAGAUUCACGACCUAUAACAAAUGAUUGUUUAUUUACUGUCAGCCUCUAAGGUUUGGGGUAACUUGUUACGCAGAAAUAAAUAUCUGGAACCCUUAA
rnacentral:lncRNA from 1 species